GACGACGACCCCGUCGGCUAGCAUCUUUAACUCGGCCACCAAGCACCUCGACAUCAACUGAAGCAUGAUCCAGAGCAACAAUCUGCCUGUAAAAAGCACCAAAGUCAUCUCAAUUUCUAAGCCAUUUCCUUGAGCUCUUCCAAGAUAUUGCUCAUGUCAGAUAGUGCAUCAUCUUGCUUCACCUUUUCUUCCUGUGUGAUGUAUGAUUUUGAAACACAAAGCUUAUGUAAGGUGAAUGAUACUGCAUUUUGGAAACCAUGGAUAUAUUUUUAUCAUGGUACACAUUUGUGCAGUAAUGAUUUACAGAUAGCAAAUACAAACCUCAACUUUUUGAA